rnacentral:tRNA from 1 species
GCCCCCAUAACUUAAUGGUAAAGUACUAGCCUCUUAAGCUGGGAUUCCAGGUUCAAAUCCUGGUGGGGGCA